AAGGAUCAUUAAUGAAAUGCAAGGACGCUCUUUUUAGAGGUCCGACCCAAUUCAUUUCACACUGUGCACAAUACUACAUUUUACACCCUUUUAAACCCUUACAGUUUAAGAAUGUAAACAGUCUCUUAAUUGAGCAUAAACAAUACAAAACUUUCGACAACGGAUCUCUUGGCUCCCGCAUCGAUGAAGAACGCAGCGAAAUGCGAUACGUAAUGUGAAUUGCAGAAUUCAGUGAAUCAUCGAAUCUUUGAACGCACCUUGCACUCUUUGGUAUUCCGAAGAGUAUGUCUGUUUGAGUGUCGUGAAACUCUCAACCCCCCUAUUUUGUAACGAAAUAGGCUGCGGGCUUGGAUUAUGGCUGUCUGUCGGAUCUUCAUUGACCGACUCGGCUGAAAUAUACGAGCGAUCCAAUGUGUAUACUAAUACAGCAACGGUUUGACUUGGCGUAAUAAUACUAUUCGCUGAGGACGUAGCGGUAAUUAAUAACGACGUUGACGCUUCUAAUGCGACUGUAUAGUCAUUUAAUCUCUAGACCUCAAAUCAGAUAGGACUACCCGCUGAACUUAA
rnacentral:rRNA from 1 species